rnacentral:hammerhead_ribozyme from 1 species
AUCCAGCUGACGGGUCCCAAAUAGAACGAAAUGUCCCUCCUGUAU